rnacentral:rRNA from 1 species
UACGGAGGAUGCAAGCGUUAUCCGGAUUUAUUGGGUUUAAAGGGUGCGUAGGCGGAUGAUUAAGCGUGAGGUGAAAGCUCGGGGCUCAACCCCGGAACUGCCUCGCGAACUGGUUGUCUUGAAUGUGUGCCGUGGGAGGAACGUGUGGUGUAGCGGUGAAAUGCAUAGAGAUCACACAGAACACCGAUUGCGAAGGCAUCUCACGAACGGAUGAUUGACGCUGAGGCACGAAAGCGUGGGGAUCAAACAG